rnacentral:rRNA from 1 species
CGGGGGGGACUAGGCCGGGUUUGUUCGAGGCUCACGCGGACUCAGAUGGUGAGCAGUGAGCUAAGAGGGGAGUAAAGAGCGUUAGGAGACCAAUCGUGGGGGAUAACGGAGCGAAAGCUUUGCUAAUACCGCAACGAUCUACGGAUGAAAGCAGGGGACCGCAAGGCCUUGCGCGGACGGAGCGGCCGAUGGCAGAUUAGGUAGUUGGUGGGAUAAAAGCUUACCAAGCCGACGAUCUGUAGCUGGUCUGAGAGGACGACCAGCCACACUGGGACUGAGACACGGCCCAGACUCCUACGGGAGGCAGCAGUGGGGAAUUUUGGACAAUGGGCGCAAGCCUGAUCCAGCCAUGCCGCGUGCAGGAUGAAGGCCUUCGGGUUGUAAACUGCUUUUGUACGGAACGAAAAGACUCUGGUUAAUACCUGGGGUCCAUGACGGUACCGUAAGAAUAAGCACCGGCUAACUACGUGCCAGCAGCCGCGGUAAUACGUAGGGUGCAAGCGUUAAUCGGAAUUACUGGGCGUAAAGCGUGCGCAGGCGGUGAUGUAAGACAGAUGUGAAAUCCCCGGGCUCAACCUGGGAACUGCAUUUGUGACUGCAUCGCUGGAGUACGGCAGAGGGGGAUGGAAUUCCGCGUGUAGCAGUGAAAUGCGUAGAUAUGCGGAGGAACACCGAUGGCGAAGGCAAUCCCCUGGGGCCUGUACUGACGCUCAUGCACGAAAGCGUGGGGAGCAAACAGGAUUAGAUACCCUGGUAGUCCACGCCCUAAACGAUGUCAACUGGUUGUUGGGUCUUCACUGACUCAGUAACAAAGCUAACGCGUGAAGUUGGACCGGCCUGGGGAGUACGGCCGCAAGGUUGAAACUCAAAGGAAAUUGACGGGGGACCCGCACAAGCGGGUGGAUGAUGGUGGUUUUAAUUUCGAAUGCAACGCGAAAAAACCUUUACCCACCUUUUGACAUGUACCGGAAAUCCCUUUUAGAGAAUAGAGGAGUUGCUCGAAAGAAAAGCCCGUAACACAAGUGGCUGCAAUGGCUGUCGUCACCUCGUGUCGUGAGAUGUUGGAUUAAGUCCCGCACGAGCGCAACCGCGGUUCAUUAGCUUGCUACAGUUCAGUUGGGCCACCUCGCUAACGUGGAAGCAACCAUGGACACCCGUGU